AGCAGUGAGGAAGGUGGGUAUGUUAAUAGCAUACUCAUUUGACGUUAGCUGCAGAAGAAGCACCGGCUAACUCCGUGCCAGCAGCCGCGGUAAUACGGAGGGUGCGAGCGUUAAUCGGAAUUACUGGGCGUAAAGCGCAUGCAGGUGGUUGUUAAGUCAGAUGUGAAAGCCCGGGGCUCAACCUCGGAAUUGCAUUUGAAACUGGCAAACUAGAGUACUGUAGAGGGGGUAGAAUUUCAGGUGUAGCGGUGAAAUGCGUAGAGAUCUGAAGGAAUACCGGUGGCGAAGGCGGCCCCCUGGACAGAUACUGACACUCAGAUGCGAAAGCGUGGGGAGCAAACAGGAUUAGAUACCCUGGUAG
rnacentral:rRNA from 1 species